CAUGGGAUUCAAUCCUUUUUUUCCUGACGAAAUUAACAAAAAAAACAAAAAAAAAAACACCUAACCCUAAAAUUAUUUCCGUCCCUCUUCAUCUCGGUGUUCUCCUAUCGAACCCCUAACUGGUAUUCUCUCUUUUUCUUCGUUGAUUUACCUUCAGGGUUUAAAGCUCAGCAUUCUACCGUUGCCAAGAAAUUAUUAACUUUUAAACCGUGGAUUCUGUUACAAGUACUUGGUCGUCCGUCGGAUCGAUGGUUUCCUGGUAAAGCUGUGUCCGAUUAAUUCUUUUCAUCGUUUAAUCAUACAAUAGCUAUCUGUUUUUUUCACGGCUAAAAAACAAAAUAAUUUUCCAUGAAAUCCAAGACAUGUAAAAGCAUCAAAAUUAUCCAGGAGAUUCAAGAACAUGGCAGUGGUUACGGUACACAAACGAGAACUCUUAACCAGCAGCUGUGCAGUAACAGAAAGAUCGUAGGCCUUACGGUACUAAAUCAAUAAAAGAUUCUUAGAGUAUUGGACAUAGUGCUGCUAUUACGGUAUUGAAUCAUCAAAGGGGUGGCAAUGCUCAGUGGUCUGUCAGCUGGUACGGAUUAGACAAGUGCAGAGUAUUGGACAUAGUGCUGCUAUUACGGUAUCGAAUCAUCAAAGGGGUGGCAAUGCUCAAUGGUCUUUCAGCUGGUACGGAUUAGACAAGUGCAGGUUUGUCGUAGUGAUGAUACCAUUUUCUUUGCAUAUCAUGAGGAUCUUUUUACUGGUUAGGGCUAAGAAGAGUAAAUUAGAGGUUUUGGGUUGUGAACCAGAAACAAGAAAGAAGAUUGUUUUGUUUAUUAGAGCUGAUCUUGAUCGAGUAAAAUCAAGCUUGGGUUUUCAGAAGAGGCACAAGACUGGAAUGGGUGGGAUCAUCAAAAGUUACUGACAAGGGAGUGCAUCAUCAGAAUUGAAGAUAAGACCUCAGAUUGGUCGUGUUUUUCUUUCUUUCUUUUUUUCCCGGAUGACCAUCUGGAUUUAUGACUUGAAGUGGAGAGGGACAUCAGGUUGUCAACUCAUGUGCACCCUGAAUGAGCACUAAGAGAAUGAAAUUGAUCAUGUAUAAGGUUUUAACUAAUUCGUUUGUUGUUUGCCAUCCCUAUGGCUCAUCUUUUCUCGCAGCUGGCAUGAUCGCAAACGGUAGAUACUAAAUCAACGAGUAUAGUUCGUCUUAUAUGUUAGCUUUUGCUGCAACAGAUUAUGUAAAACCAGAAGCAGAGAAAGUAUUUCAUUCCUUAAAUCAUAUACGAAAAUUACGCCCAUAAUGGUGACUGACGGCGAUAAUUGGACUACAUCAAAUGCUGAUGGAAUCAAAUAUUUGCAGGUAAUAUGGAAACAAAAUAGGAAUGACAUGGCACCAAAAGAGAGAAUUUCUAUGCAAUUUGGAGAGGAAAUUAAUAUAAUAGCCAAAUCUUUUCUUACAUGCUGGUGCAACAAGGUUCUUUUGUCUACAGACUUGAGCUCCUCGAACCGAGGAACGAUGCAGCAUCACCUUGAAGUCUCCCACCAAUUUGUCAGCUCUAUAACAUUACCAUCGCCUCUGCAUUCUAAUAUUUCUAUUUUGUUUCCAAAUUUAGUUGAUAAAAA